AUUGAACGCUGGCGGCAGGCCUCACACAUGCAAGUCGAACGAGUGGCGGACGGGUGAGUAAUGUCUGGGAAACUGCCCGAUGGAGGGGGAUAACUACUGGAAACGGUCGCUAAUACCGCAUACCAUCGGAUGUGCCCAGAUGGGCUUAGCUAGGAGGUGGGGUAACGGCUCACCUAGACGACGAUGCCUAGCUGGUCUGAGAGGAUGACCAGCAACACUGGAAAGGAGACACGGGCCAGACUCCAAUGGGAGGAAGCAGUGGAAAAGAUGGAACAAUGGGAGCAAGCCUGAGGGAGACAUGCGGGGUGUAGGAAGAAGGCCUGUGGGUUGUAAAGUACUUUGAGCGAGGAGGCGUUACUAGAAGAAGAAGCACCGGCUAACUCCGUGCCAGCAGCCGCGGUAAUAC
rnacentral:rRNA from 1 species